rnacentral:rRNA from 1 species
AUUGAACGCUGGCGUCAGGCCUAACACAUGCAAGUCGAACGAGUGGCGGACGGGUGAGUAAUGUCUGGGAAACUGCCUGCUUGAGGGGGAUAACUACUGGAAACGGUAUCUAAUACCGCAUACCAUCGGAUGUGCCCAUAUGGGAUUAGCUAGUAGGUGGGGUAAAGGCUCACCUAGGCGACGAUCUCUAGCUGGUCUGAGAGGAUGACCAGCCACACUGGGACUGAGACACGGUCCAGACUCUUACGGGAGGCAGCAGUGGGGAAUAUUGCACAAUGGGAGCAAGCCUGAUGCAGCCAUGCCGCGUGUAUGAAGAAGGCCUUAGGGUUGUAAAGUACUUUCAGCGGGGAGGCGUUACCCGCAGAAGAAGCACCGGCUAACGCCGUGCCAGCAGCCGCGGUAAUUC